GACGAACCGUCCAAACGUUAUUCGGAAUCACUGGGCUUAAAGGGCGCGUAGGCGGGUGAGCAAGUCUGUGGUGAAAUCCUCCGGCUUAACCGGAGAACUGCCGUGGAUACUGCCCAUCUCGAGGAGGGUAGGGGUGUCUGGAACUAGCGGUGGAGCGGUGAAAUGCGUUGAUAUCGCUAGGAACUCCGGUGGCGAAGGCGAGACACUGGACCCUUUCUGACGCUGAGGCGCGAAAGCCAGGGGAGCGAACGGG
rnacentral:rRNA from 1 species